GCCUGGCUAGCUCAGUCGGUAGAGCAUGAGACUCUUAGGUCGUGGUUUCGAGCCCCACUUUGGGCG